GCCCUAAUCAGUAUCAAAUCUACAGUGAGUCAUUCAAACAGCAUGACAUAACUGGCCGCGCUUUGCUGAGACUUACUGACAAAAAGCUUGAACGAAUGGGCAUUGCCCAGGAAAGCCUGCGACAGCACAUUCUGCAGCAAGUCCUUCAGCUGAAGGUGAGAGAAGAAGUCCGAAACCUCCAACUGCUUACACAAGCCCCAGCAGAGAGCUCUCCAUAAACAUUUCCAGCCUGUAAAGCUGCUGUCCUGCCACUUGAUAUGAAAAUGAACUUUCCUUCAUGAAAAAAAACAUAAUCAAUGGCACUGCCAGAAGGUGACCUUGGAGGAGUGAAGACAAACUUGAAGUAAAAUCAGCCCACUCAAGAUGAUGCAUUCUGAGAAGACCUGGUUUGCUGUGGAGUAAAAAUGUGGUGCAUAAUAUCCAGUGCUAAUUUGUUCAAAAUGGUCAUUGACAGACCUUUAGCUGGAAAAUUUCUUCCGGUUUUCAUCACUGUGCAUAACUUUGGGUUCCCUUUAGGGGACUGCCUAUGCCCUUCACUAGAAGUCCUGUUUUAGCAUGGCAACUACUGGAUUCUUCUAUUAUGUAUGCAGAUGGCAUGAUGUUUUAGGAAAAACUUACAGGAAUUCUCCAAUCUCCGUGGAUAUGUUCACAUUACUACACCCCUGAUAGGAAUGUAGAAGUCUUGUAUGUGUUAGUUUUGCAGUCUAAUAGUAUUCCGUUAAACAAUAUCAGCACUUCAUGCGUGCUUUCUGCACAGAAUUAGCACAGUCCAUAUAUAUAUAAUGGUCUUUCCUAAAUACUGAGGAUAUGUUUCAGUAGUUGUGCUGAGACUGCAUCCAAACUGAAGUCCACUACUAGCAUACCUUCACCGAGUCACAGUACACUGUGUAGAUAGAUUUGCACAUGGCAGAGGUGUGACUUCGUGGAGACUUGCAGAACAGCUGCCACAGAGGUAGCCAAGAACAGGGUUGGUUGAAUGAGCUCUAGGACACUGUGUCUGCUCUCCCUCCCAUCCAGCAGAUAUCAAAGGCUCUCAUUCCUGUUAUGCCAAUGUGUUUUCUUACUCAGUGAGGGAGAGGAAAGGGAGAGCACCCUUCUCAGAGGGGAGUUGGACCUAGAGUUUGGUCUACACUAGGAACAGAACAAACUGGAAGAAUUCAGAUCCUUUUUGCUGGCCACUGUUUAUGUUUUGGGCAGGACUUGGGAAUCACAGUCCAAACCAAAUGCUCUGAAAAAGGUAAUGCAUAAGACUAUACUUCUGAGGAGCGAGACACUCCCUCCAACGGGGGCAGACUUCUUUGUUAACUUUUUCCACUUUCUAUCCAAAAGCAUAUUUUGGUAGGAAAUAGGAAUAAGCAAACGGUUCUAAUAAGCCUUUCAAUAUACUGUAGCAGGCUCAAGACUGUUGCAUUCAAUCUGAGCAUUGAUUUUUGUUCAGUCUCUGAAUGGCUGGCUUCAUCACUGGCUGUAUCACAGCUGGCUGUGGUACUAUUUUUUUUUUUCCACGGGGAUUUAGUGGAAUUAAUGUCUGUCCCUAACAUCAGGACCUUCUUGACACACUCUUUGUGAUGAACUGAUGCCAUCAACAUGCUAAGGGGACUUACCUAUUUGUUCCUCAUUUCUUUAAAAUCAAAGGUAGCUUUUGUAUAUUUAAAAACUGUCAUUCUCUCCAACCUAAUAGGCAGAUACAGUAGAGUUGCUUUUAGUGUGUAUGCCAAACUGUGGAUGAAGUGCCAUACAGGUGUGAAGAUGCAGCAGUGGAGAGAAGACACAAUUACAUCAAGGUAAAGGCACCUUUUUAGAGCAAAUUCCUGUGUUAUGAUACUUAAAAACUAUUGUACAGUUCAUUGCUAGAGAAUUCAAGGUCAGCCUCUGAGGGUGCCUGUAGAAUCAACAAAUAAAUACAUUGAGGAUGUAAUUUUUUUCAGAUGAGUGCAGGAUUAGGUUACAGCUCUCCACCCAGCUCAGAUUCAGCAUGUUGAAUACUUCUUUACUGUUCAAGAAGGAAAUUGACGGCCAAGAUUUUCAGAAGUUGCUAGUGAUUUCUAGUGGUAUGGGUCUUUGCAUGGGUUUGGGUCUUUCCAAGUGAAUCUCCCAAAAAGUAUAAGGCAGUAAGCUUUAUAUUCUUUUUCUGAAAAUCCUGGCCCUAAUUUUACAUUUAUUGGUGUACAAGUUCUCCUUAUGAUGUAAAAAUCUUUGCCAACAGCAUCAUUUGCACUUUUUAGAGCUUUUCAUAGUAUUGCAGGUUGGAAUCUGAUCCUUAUUGAGAGAAGUGGCUGAGCACCUUGCAGAAUUCCAUUAUAAGCUCCAGUAAAUUUUACAGCUCUUUCUGCUACAGAUUUUAAAAAUGCGCUCUGGCAACUGACACCAAUUUUGUGUUGGUAUAGCAAUUAAAAACAAACAAACAAACAAAAAACAACUUGAAUAUAAAUUAUUUUCAAAAGGAGAAUGCUAUACUCCUGCAGUAGAAAUUCUCUUAUUUUAUUAUCCAGCGAAAAAUUCUGGCAUAAUUUGAAUGAUAAUAGAAGAGUUUAUCAGAGAGUAUUAUCCUAAAAGGUCAUAGGAGAAAAAUAUGAGUUAGGCAAAGAGCUGCUAGAAGCAUUUUUGUAUCAGUGUUAGUUUUGAACAUCUUCCAGUAGAUGGUCAUGAAUUUAGAUGUGUGCACUUCUCCCAUUAAAACAGUUUGUUUUAAAAGCUUCCCAGGAUUCUAGCUAUGGUGAUCUAGAAAACCAGUGUUACAGGCCCUGAGAAAUGUGAAAACAAAUACAGACCCUCGUGUAGCCAAACUCAGUGAGAGCUCUGCUGUAGGUGCCCAUGGACCAAGCUCAUUUGGCAGCGCUGUAGGUCUCCAUCCUACAGACAGCCGUGCAUGUGGAGAACUCUAAGCAUAAGCAAGAACAGUUCCCUCGUGCCCCGCGACACUCCUCACGUGUGUAACUGUCUGCAGGAGCCAUAAGGAAAUCACUGUACUUUUUGGCUUGUAUUUAACUAUUCAUCGUGUUUGGAUGUUUUUAAUCACUGUUAUUCUCCCAAAGUAGGCCAUGCUUCCUCAGGGAUAUUUAUGAAAUUGUUCUGCAGCUACUGAACAACUAUCUGGAUCCCAGCGUAUUCUUCCGAAAACUUUUUAAUAUAAAUAAAAAUGUGGGGGAGAUUUUUUUUUUUUGUUAUUGUGAAUGGGGGCAGGUACUGUAUUCUCGGAAAGGCUCUUGAGUGCAGACAAUCAAGUCUAUUGCAUUUUUUAUGCUGAACACCUUAUUAAGAGCGGACACAUCCGCUUUUGCCUGGGUCGCAAGAACAGUUCUGUGGAAACAAUGCUUUAUCUCCAGUCAAUAAAUCAUUUAUGUCGAGAGUGCCAAAGACCAAGUCAACAUGAAAGGGAGUGAAUAAGUUAUUCCGGCAGAGGAAGUGAAUUUAAAUAUGCUCAGAGCCAUUAGUUCUGUGCAAAAGAGUAGAAGAUGAAUGCUAUUUUAAUAAAGGAGCAAUUAUCAGCCCUGUGGAGCUGGAUAUAGUCGCAAAGCCCAGUGCUACCAUUGCACUGAUCACUGCUCACAGCUCUGAGACGAUGGAGCAGAAGCAUCCCUGUGCAGUGCCUGGCCACUGCUCUCUGGGCAGGGACACGCAGAGAAUCAGCCAUCCUCAGUGCUUCAAAUUAUGCCAAGUGCAACAUAAGAAAACUGGAGGAAUUGCUCUCCUCAAAAAACAUGCUGCGAAUGAAAACAUCUUUUGCACCGGUUUAGUCCUUGCUUUUUUUCAUUUGCAUGGCUUUCUUUGCCCGAAGUCCCCAUCACUUAUUUUCUGAGGGAGAACACAGCUCCCCAGGAGGGGAGACUGCAAAAGCCCUGCAAGCCCCUUAGCCUUGCUGGUCCAUCUGUGUCAUGCUGUAGCAGGGGGCUCCUUCCUGGCUGGCUGCUUCUCGGCAGCCAGACUGAAAGCAGCUGCAGUGUCACUAAGGAAAUCAAACCAUUAUUAAUGACAAAAUUUUUUCUUUGUUUUGUUCCCUAUUUGCAGAAGACUCUAGGCCAGGUCCCCAGCAGACCUACAACAGUCUGCUCCAUCCUUCUCCUGAGGUGUGUUGGUUAAUGCCAGCUGUGGGGCCAGUCCUGAGGGAUUUUGUGCUAUAGCCAAAAGCAGCCUCCCUCCGCCCUCCCCAAAGCCACGAGAUCUCAAUUAUUCAAAAUAGUUUCAGGCAAGCAGAGUAAAAUCCUGCAUUUUUCACCCCCGUCCCCUUUUAACUCUCUGCAGUCUGACUCUCCUUUGAAGGACCCUGCUACAAGGCUAUGUUGAUUGACCCGAGUAUAUGUAAACUGAUCAGUAAGAUUUUAAUUUAAAAAGUCCUCUGUUACAACGAAAAUUGAUGACUGGGGGAAAGUAUUACCAGCAUUACCUGCAGCCUCCUAUGGUAAAAUGCAAGUAAGCCAUCUGGAGUGCAAAAAUGCCACCAACAAAAUGCAUGAGUGAUUAGGCAGGCAUGUGAGUUUAAAUCAACAAAUAAGCAAAGCAGAUGUUUGAUGUGGGAAGCCAAAAAAUGUAGGGGAGGUCAGUGGCCAGCAGACUAGGGCUAGUGAGACCAAAUGCAUUCUGCAUCCUCAUAAACAGCCGCAGUGAACCCGAUGUUAGGUACAGCAUGGUGGUUACUCACUGAACAUGUGAAACCAACAAAUAUUCUUGUUUUGUAUUUGAAAGCAGUAGAAUAAAGGAGUCAAUUUUCACACUAAAAUGUAAUUCCUCCUACUCCAUCAGUAAUUAUGGGUAAUAUUAAGCAGCAGCUAUCCAAACAUAUUCUUAAAUUCACACAACCAGAUAUGUGAGCGUAGGGAAACUUAAGCGUAAGAUUUUUCAGAACUUAAAAGCAUUGAAAGAAGCUUUAAAUUACACAAAAACAAACCAAACCCCAAAGCAAUAAUGAAAAAGAAUGAGUGACCUGAUGCAGAAAACUAUAGGCUCAUUUGCUUAAUAUCAGUCCGGGGUAAAAUCAUAGAAAGGUUGAUAUGAAGCAAUCAUUAAAGCAAUUAAAAAUUGAUAAACCCCUCCAAAUGAUUGUUAUAGAAUUUGUGUCAAGUAAAUUUGUUAUCAUUUUUUGUGAUAUCAAAGGCUUGUUGAUAAAGGAGGCUCUGCUGACAUGCUAUCCUUAGCCUCCUAUAGAUCAUUUGAUUCUGAUAAAGAACAAAAAGGCGCAAUGCAGAAUAGACCACGCUAAGUGGAUUAAAACUGAUUAGUUGCUAGCUCACAAAAAAUGGUUACAAAUAUGACAUUAUCAUCAGUGAGACUAUUUCUAAUGAGCUCCUCCCAAGGUAUGUUCUAUUUUCAAUAUUUCUCCCAGAGAAACAGAAAAUUACUGUUGGAGCAUUUACAGAUGACAGAGCCAGGUGUGUGCCAUGAAAUGGUGAUGAAUCUGGAGUGCUGCAAGUGGAGAAGCCAAGGGGAGGAGAAGAGCCUCCUUGGGGCUUGGGAAUGUGUCUGUAGUUGGGUGGCCAUGAAGGUCAAUGUCAUCUACUCAGCGUCAGCCCCCAGGAGCUCUUAGGAAAGUGUCAUCUCUGAGGAGCACCAUCAGUAGGACUUGGAGGAUGUCUAGGAUCUGGCAACAGUGCGCAUCUUUCAUAUAUUGACAACUCGGAAAGAUUGUUUUCUAAAGCUCCCAGUGUCAUUCAAGGGCAGGAAAACAGCUCUUAUUAUAGUGCUAGACUAAUGAAACUCAAGCUAUUAAUUUAUCAGAGACGAUGUGAAGAGAUGACUCAAUCUGCCUGCAAUCACAAGCUCUACCUGUGCAGGAAGUGCUGGCUGAGGACAGGUAGUGCUUUUAUUCAGAGGAAAAGGGAAUGAUGUGCUCUACUGGCUGGAAACAGAUUUCAGGCUAGAAAUUAAGCACAAAUGCUCGACGGGGAGGAUAAUUACACAUAGAGACAACUUACUUUCCAUUACAUUCUCUAUCACGUAAGGUCUUUAAGUAUAUGCAGAGCUUUUUUCUAAGUCAAUAAGCUCUACCUCAGAUGGAAAUGUAGGCUCUGUUCAGUAGUCCCUGGAUGAGGCAGUGAGGUGUGCGCUGUGUAAGAGCUCAGCCAGGAUCAUCACUAGAUCAUCACAUGCAAGGUUCUGAAUUGAAAUGUCAUGAAGUUUAAAUACAGAAGGAAAGCAGGCCCACCUAUAUCCAUUGUUUUCACACAAUAUUGUCUUAGAGAGCUAUGAACUGACCUGUAACUGGUGGGAGCUGCAGUAGGUCUCCUCGCAUUUAAAGGUUCUUCUGCAUGUGGCUGCAGAAGAGAACAAAACAAGAAAGGACAACAAAAGAUGCUGGCCAUACAGAAUUAUUCUGUUGUUGUUCGGUGGUAACAGCUUGGGAUAAAGUCCUGUACCCACGUGACCCACGUGAGCAUGCAGUGAGACCAUGGCUUUGCCUCUUGAUCAAGUAGGCACCAUUUUGCUGGCAUGAAACAGGUUUUAUGUUCAACAGCUAGUAGAGGAGCUGAAGUGCUGAUUGAGAAUUACAUUGUGUUGCUUUGCAGUUGAACAGGGUACAAAGCCAACUGUUCCUUUUCUGCCAAUGAGCCCCUCUGCAGCUGGUGAAUGGAGCCCUCAUAGUGAAAUGAGUUCAAUGGGAUAACCCAGAGCAAUGUGCACUGAGAGCAUUAUUGCAGGUGGCUGCUUUGAAUAUUGUACCUUCAAAAUAAGCAGGAGUGCUCGGCUUCUUAUCCACGUCUCAUGAAGCUGCUGCUCUCAGGUACAAGGCAAGCACAAAGCUAUGAGCUGCCUUUCAGAGUUCUUUGUUGUGCUGUAGAAAAUGGCACAAAAUAGGAUGUGUAUUUUAGAGAGUAAACAGUUCACACAGGCAAAAGAAACCAUAAAGGCAAUACUUACUGCAAAUUGGUAUUGAAUCAAUAUCAAGAAGCUGGAACAGAAAGGGACAUAGCUAAGAAGAUAAAGAUCUUUGGGGAUUCUUGCUCUAAUCCAGUGUGAAAUCCUAAGAAAAUGAGUCUGGUGUAGAUUUAUUGUUCAGAGAACAUUGGUCAAUACCAGCUGCAGUCAGGUACAUUUGCAGGGUUGCUGGCUUAUGUGCCAGCAGUGGAGCAGUCCUAUGAUGGCUGCACAAGGGCUGCCUCUUCCCUAAAAGUGGGAUUUCAGCACUGUUGUAAGACAGGCUUAGUCAGAGUGAGAUGAAAAGCUCCUUUCUGCUUUUAAUUCCAAGUAUCUCUAAAUACCUUUUCAGAAAAAGAAAAAAUCCUGUAUAACUGUUGUUAUGUCUGUAAUCAUAUUACUUCUAUUAAGCACUUGCCUAGGAUUCAUCUAUUUAAUAUCAUGUUACCAAAUUAAAUAGUGACAUACAGAUUUUUUUUUUUUUUAAAGCAGGGAAACCAAUAUUGCAGCCCAAGUGCAUGUAAGCAACAAAAAGGUGUGCAGAGAAAAAAAAAAAAAAUCUGCCCAUGGAUCCUUAGGGGACCUAUUUGUUUGGGUUUGUUUAUUGAGAGCUUGGUUUUACACCUAGGCGGGGGCUUUCCCUACUGAGCCGGGCUCUGGACUUAGGACACAUCCAGACAAACGCUUGGAGCCCUCUUACUGUGUGUUGGAGGCUCCUCUGCUUUUCUUCUGAGAGGGGUAAGAAAAAGAUUAGGUGACCUCCAGUGUGCUGGAGAAAUCACAGAGGGAUGUUAGCUUCCAGUUUACACGAAGGGUUACACAAAGCUCAUCAUUCUCCCCACUAAGCUCAGCUCUACUGAUGGAGAGAAAGAAGCUGGCCACGCAGGGCACUCAGAGCCCUGCACCAGGCUGUCCUGGGGCCGUGGCAGGAGAUGGACAGACAGACAGACCAACAGACCACCUUGCAGGAUUAGCAGGCUCAGGGCCAUUACUGUUGGUGGUCAUUGCUGAAUGGUAGGCUUCCCCUAAAUAAGGGUGAAUUGCCUGGAGCAAGAACCUGCAAAUGUGAGUUGCCAGCACCAAAGUCAUAGAAUCAAAGUGACUGAGGUUGGAAAGGACAUUAAGUAACACCAGAUCAUCCGGUCCCACCCCUGCCUUGGGCUGGGCCAUCUUGUACUUGGGUUGGGAUGCACCUGGCUUUGUCUUCAGGUUCUUUUAAGGGCUCCAGAUAUAUGGACCUGCCUCAUGGUUGUUAUUCCUUUUUCACAUCUGAGCAUGGAUGACAGUGAGACCCACCCACGAUCAGUCUGACAUUAUGUCUGCCAGCAUUUGGCUCCUCCAUUUCAGGGAGCUGAUUUUAGCUGAGCCUGUCUUUGAGGAGAGCUGAAAAUUCACAGCUGGAAUUGUAGCAUCAUCUCCAAAGACUGCCCAAAAACUGUGGCCCAUACAAAGAACCAAACCAGCCCCAUCCACUGGUGAUGGACAGGAGCUGAGGGAACCCGAGCCACCUUCAGCCUCAGCCCUGAGCUACAUGCACCAGGAAAAUUCUCCUGUAACCUCCUUUUAAUGUUAACUUGGUUGAAAAUCUGGCAGAAUGGCAGCACUCAAAACGUGAACAUGUCACACACUAUUAUUCCCAGUCUUCUAUGAGAGCAUUUUAGAGAUGAAGCCAAGUGAGGUGGCAUAACAACAAAGUGUGCCUUUCUGUUGGAUGUGCUCUGCUCUUCCCCAGGCAUCCAAGGUGUUCCUCUGUACAGCAGUGUUUUUUUCCCAGAACUGAAAUUAUCAUGCAAUCUAAUUUUUAGUACACGAAGUGGCCAUCACUGUUAAUUCCACCCUACAGUUUUUGUAUUUCCGCUUUAAUUCCUUCCGUUUUCAAAAAUCAAUGAAAAAUAAAACCUGGGUGGGAGGGAAGAAUUCUAAUAAAUGAUGAAAUUAAAAUCAAUAUCAAGUUUUUGGUAUCUUUGGGCAUGAUCUCUGGAAGCUUUGGAUAUCUGCUUUAUCAUUUUGUAUAUUUGACAAUUUUGUACUCCGCAUCGUUUGACUUCAUUUGUGCAUGGCAAUGUAUUAAAACAUGGAAUUUUUAUUAUAGAGUAAAAGGGUUUUGUCUGAUUUAAACAAAUUCAGGGCUUGACCCAUUGCUUGUCCUGGACUGAUGGGGCUCCAGCACGGGAUGUGAGGAAUUUGCUGCCUGGCACUGCAGGUGUUAUGAAAUGCAAAGUACUCGUAGGUGCAGUAGGACAUCUCAUAGAAUCAUAGAAUCAUUAUGGCUGGAAAACACCUCUAAGGUCAUCUAGUCCAAUAAUCAACCCAUCCCCACAGUGCCCACUAAUCCGUGUCCCUUAAUGCCACAGUUACCCUUAUCUUGA